rnacentral:tRNA from 1 species
GGAUCGGUAGUUUAGUUGGUUAGAAUAUCGGCUUGUCACGCCGAAGGUCACGGGUUCAAGUCCCGUUCGAUCCG